AAUUCAGAUAGUUAUGGGUCUUUGGAUCUAUUUGAAAUUUAUUGACACUUGGCGGGAAAUAUAAUACACAAAUACUUCGGAAAUAUACACGUUCAAUGUUUUUAAUCUUGUACAUUAACCCAAAAUAAGUAACUUAUUAAAAGUGCAUUUUUAUUUUAAAAAAGACAGUAUUUGAAAAUAUUCUAUCAAUAUUGAAAUACCAGAUCGCGGAAAUUGGUGACACAAUUUGGAAGCGACUCUGGUUUUGCUGUGAAAAGUGGUAAAAGUCCUGGAUUUAGAAUAAAACAGGAUGUCAAAAGGAGACAGCAAGCCAAAGACAUCAGAUUGGACGCGGUGCUUCGAAGGAAUAGCAGAUCUCAGUGGGACUAUAGCUGGGUCUUCCAAAGCAGCUGCUGUAAAGAGGAAAUCUGCAGAUAACUUCGGAUUUGGUCAUGGAAACAUUUUUGAGAAGCUGGGACUGGCAGGGAACGAGGAUGCUACAAGUCAAUCGAUUGUUUGGAGUUCAAGUGAAAGUGAUGGAGAAGCAGAGAAGACAGGCUCAGCAGUAACACCAGUGGUAAAGAAACAGCGAAGGGGGUGGGGUCGCACCUCCCCCAAAAAACCAGCCAGAACCAGCUUGAAAUCAAAAGCUUCCACUGCGGCAGAUGCUGUGGAGAUACUUACUGUGUCUGAUGAUGAAACGACUAAACAAUCCAGCAUCACAGCAGGGAAAACAAAUGAAACUAAAGCCUAUGGAGAGGAGAUUUCGAUUGCUGGCUUUGAAUCCGGUUCAGAAGAGGUUGAACCAUGCAAAAACCAAGAAGUAAAGACAAUAGUAUCUCAAGGAGACAGUCAGCCCUGCAUUUUGAGCAUGGACUCCCUGAGUCCCCCUCCCACGGGUGCGGCCCCUCCCACAGGCGUGGGCAGGAAGGCCAGUGAUUGGUUCAAGUCCUUACAGCUGAAGACCCCAAGCAAGUCAGAGCAGGGACCGCAGGACGAUGGGGCACCAGACUCGGCAAAGAAGAAGAAGAAAAACAAGAAGGGUGGUCUAGCAGAGCAGAUGUUGCGGCUCCAGGCUCGAGAUCGGUCUUCUGUCCGUAUGUGGGCUCACAAGCAGAACAAGCCCUCUGCAUCCCAAGAUUGCAAGUCCAGCACGCUGACGGUGCUCAGUGUAGAGUCACUGUACUCUAUGCAGCUGGUGCGAUGUUCCGUGUCAGUGUCCACAAGUGGGGCCGGAGAUCUGGUUCCCGCGUCAGGCACCGAAGACUUGGCCAGCAGCUCACGACUGGUUCUGUUUACUGGGAACCAGGCAGAGCAACUGAACCUCCAGACUGGAACUCAAUUCAAGAUCUUUCCACCUUGGCAGCAACUGGAGCUGAAUGGAGGCCAGAUGGUGUUGCUGUGCACCAAGUACUGUCUGCUGCAGUCAGGUCCCUCCCCCAGGGAUGAGAGGCAGGCCACACACCCCUUAGAGAAAUAUGGGAGCCCUGUUCGGGCUUCCUGGAACUGUCCGUGUGUGCAAGGACUGUGCCGCAGUAUGUCCCUGUGUCCGGCCAGCAAGUUCCCUGCCGUGGCUGGACAUCUGCAGGAAUCCACUACCACUAUUGACAACCAAAAGCAAGAGAUCCCUACAGAUCUCAGUAAGGGCCCCUCGCCACGAAAGCCAUCCCAUCUUCAGACCGUCUCUCCUAGCAAACCCAUCCGGACAUUGUCGUGCGGGGGCGUGGUUGAAGAAGACACUUGUGACUCCAUUUUGAAGAGUAUUCAAGGGAGAAAACUCAUCGGUGUUGAGCCAGGGAACACCACUUUGGUUCACAACUUGAAGUUUACUGCUCACGUUCAUAGACAUAUUGUGCAAUGUAAGAAGGAUGACAUGACAAGCUACAUACUGGUAGUGGAGGACAAUGAGGGCCAUGUGGGUGUGGUCAGGCUACCCCUGGGGAUGUACACCCCCAUCCUGGGGCUUGAGGGAUGCGAGGGACGCACCCUGCGCUUUGAAGGGCUCUCUGUUACAGACAGGGUUACACGCGACAGGGAUGAAGCCCUGUUCUCGAUGGUAGACCAGGUGUGGUCAGGGAAGGUCUCAGACCCGAGUCAGGACAGCUCAUUCUCCCAGGAACAGCCACAUCAAGUAUCCAAUGGCAAGCAGGACUUCUGCUAUAUCAUGUCUGCAGGCCCCGAUGGCCCACCCAGUAUUCAUGUCCUACAAUCCUCCAUUAUACCAGCCAGCCAGCAGAGUGAUGUGCCCCUGAAUACUCUUCUCAUCAAUCAGGUUGACCCUGUCAGAUGCAGUGUCAUUGCACGCCUCAUUUACAUACAUAAACAGAGCGAUGCUACCCAGCCAUGCCUGGUCUACAUCACAGACCCCAGCAUACAGAAGUCCUGCCCCUAUGUCACAGUGCCCCUCAGUAGGGAGAUCAGCCUUCCUGACGAGUUAACCAUGGCAAAGGGAAAGACCGCCAUCUUGCUCAGGGAUGUACUGGUGUCACAAGGUGGUCCACAAAUCGACGGCUACACUCUGUUGAAACUGCUCACGCCUUCCAGUGUUGUCUCUGACCGCCCACGCAGACAGCUGGUGGCCAAACUGCGGGCCAUGCAGGUGCCUUUGAAACCACUCAGCCACGACCUUGUGGUCAACGAUCUCUGUCAACUUGAAGGUGUUAUCAGUGAGGUGGAUGAGGAUUCUGCGUACAGUUGGGAGGCGUGUGUCCACUGCGGAGGUGAUCAGCUGAAAACUGACUCGAACAUCAGUGGAUUUGUGUGUUCUUCUUGCACAAAGACCAUGACUGAAGGGGUGACUAGGAUGAAGAUGGAGGUGAUGGUUGUGUGUGACGUCUCAAAGUGUAAAGCAAAGAUAGAUUUACUGCAGAGGACCAUAGAGAAGCUGCUACCAGCCGAGGAGGGGGAUGAGGAAGGCUAUGAGUUGUCAAGUGUCCUAAACAAGAGUGUCGGACCGCUACACUGCAUGGUCAGCAACAAGACAAGUGAUCUUGUCACCCUCCGGGAAAUAGACAUGCUCACCUGAUCUUGGAAAUAGACACGCUAACAUGAUCUGGGAAAUAGACAAGCUCAAUUGAUCUUUGGGAAAUAGACAUGGUCACCUGAUCUGGGAAAUAGACACGCUCACCUGAUCUGGGAAAUAGACACGCUCACCUGAUCUGGGAAAUAGACAUGCUUACCUGACUUGGGAUAAAGCUAUGCUUACCUGAUCUGGGCAAUAUACAUGCUCACCUGAUCUGGGAAAUAGACAAGCUCAAUUGGUCUCUGAAAAAUAGACAUGCUCACCUGAUCUGGGAAAUAGACAUGAUCACCUGAUCUGGGAAAUAGACACACUCACAUGAUCUAGGGGAAAUAGCUAUGCUUACCUGAGCUGGGAAAUAGACAUGCUCAUCUGAUCUGGGAAAUAUACACAUUCACCUAGUCUGAGAAAUAGACAAACAUGAUGAUGAUAUUCCGGCUUUUGGUGUGGGUGUACUGUUUUUAGCUCACCUGUCAUGAAGUGACAUGGUGAGCUUAUGUGACCGUGUGAUGUCCGGCGUUCGUAUGUGCGUGUGUGCGUGCGUGGGUGUGUCCGUCAACAAUUUGUUUGUGUAGACAGUAGAGGUAAAAGUUUUCAUCCAAUCUAUAUGAAAUUUGGUCAGAAUGUUUAUCUUGAUAAAAUCUGGGUCGGGAUUGUAUUUGGGUCAUCUGGGGUCAAAAACUAGGUCACUAGGUCAAAAACUAGGUCACAUAAUAGGUCAAAUAAUAGAAAAAACUUGUGCAGACAAUAGAGGUCGCAGUUUUCUUCCAAUCUUUAUGAAAUUUGGUCAGAAUGUUUAUCUUGAUGAAAUCUGGGUUGGGAUUGUAUUUGGGUCAUCUGGGGUCAAAAACUAGGUCACUAGGUCAAAAACUAGGUCAAAUAAUAGAAAAACCUUGUGUAGACAGUUGAGGUCACAGUUUACAUCCAAUCUUUAUGAAAUUUGGUCAGAAUGUUUAUCUUGAUGAAAUCUAGGUUGGGAUUGUAUUUGGGUCAUCUGGGGUCAAAAACUAGGUCACUAGGUCAAAAACUAGGUCAAAUAGUAGAGAAACAUUGUUUAGACAGUAGAGGUCACAGUUUUCAUCCAAUCUUUAUGAAAUUUGGUCAGAAUGUUUAUCUUGAUAAAAUCUGAGUUGGGAUUGUAUUUGGGUCAUCUGGGGGUCAAAAACUAGGUCACUAGGUCAAAAACUAGGUCAAAUAAUAGAAAAACCUUGUGUAGACAAUAGAGGUUGCAGUUUUCAUCCAAUCUUUACGAAAUUUGGUCAGAAUGUUUAUCUUGAUGAAAUCUGGGUUGGGAUUGUAUUUGGGUCAUCUGAGGUCAUAAACUAGGUCACUAGGUCAAAUAAUAGAAAAAACGUCAACAAUUUGUGUAGACAGUAGAGGUCACAGUUUUUAUCCAAUCUUUAUGAAAUUUGGUCAGAAUGUUUAUCUUGAUGAAAUCUGGGUUGGAUUGAGUUUGGGUCAUCUGGGGUCAAAAACUAGGUCAUUAGGUCAAAAACUAGGUCACAAGGUCAAAUAAUAGAAAAACCUUGUGUAGACAAUAGAGGUAACAGUUUUCAUCCAAUCUUUAUAAAAUUUGAUCAGAAUGUUUAUCUUGAUGAAAUCUGGGUUGGGAUUGUAUUUGGGUCACCUGGGGUCAAAAACUAGGUCACUAGGUCAAAUAAUAGAAAAACCUUGUAUAGACAAUAGAGGUCACAGUUUUCAUCCAAUCUUUAUGAAAUUUGGUCAGAAUGUUUAUCUUGAUGAAAUCUGGGUUGGGAUUGUAUUUGGGUCAUCUGGGGUCAAUAACUAGGUCACAAGGUCAAAUAAUAGAUAAACCUUGUGUAGACAAUAGAGGUAACAGUUUUCAUCCAAUCUUUAUAAAAUUUUAUCAGAAUGUUUAUCUUGAUGAAAUCUGGGUUGGGAUUGUAUUUGGGUCACCUGGGGUCAAAAACUAGGUCAAAUAAUAGAAAAACCUUGUGUAGACAAUAGAGGUCACAGUUUUCAUCUAAUCUUUAUAAAAUUUGGUCAGAAUGUUUAUCUUGAUGAAAUCUGGGUUGGGAUUGUAUUUGGUUAGUCAGGUGAGCGAUUCAGGGCCAUCAUGGCCCUCUUUUUUAUGAAUAUUUUUGCUUUUGUUUCUGAACUGUUAAUUUGUAUAAGUACCAAUUAAAUGUGCACAUAUGGUAGUUGUUGGAAUUGUUAUGGACACAAAUCUCACCUCCAAUUUAAAUUCACAUUUAUGAAAAGAAGUGCCAUCUUUCUCUGAUUCUUCUUUUAAUAGAGCGAUUUAGAUUUUAAAAUUAAAUGUUGCAGUACUCUGAUAUGAAAAUCCUUGUUCAAUGAGUAAUCAACAACCAUGCUGUCAUAAAUGCAUGUAUGUAUGAAUAUAUACACAAAAUUAGUCUUGCUUGAUCAAUAUUUAUGUCCAAAAGAAUGAAUUUUGUACAAAAAUGUUUUAAAAAAAAAUAGAAAAGAAAGAUUGUGAGUUAUUAUUUUCAAAUGUCUGUCAAUAUUGUAAUUGUGCAGUGAUCUUUUAUUUAACUUUGAUUUCAUAAGCAGAAUACAAUGACAAAAGGAAAUAUGCAGAGAGAGAACGGAAAUUCAAAUAUUGGAGUAUUUUAAAACUUUUAAUAUGAAUAGAUUUUUGCAGCAAUAAAAACAAAAACAUAUCUAUUUUCUAUCCGUAUUCCUACUGUAGUAUGACCAUGAAUUAUUUCUGUAGUUUACAUACUUAAGGUAGCAUGCCAUUUUGAGCUUGUAUUUAAUACUAACAUUUUUCACAAAAUGAAUUGCAAUUAUGUUUGGUAUUAGUUAAGUAAUCUUUUAAGUAGUGAGUUUUGUCUCUCAUUAAUAUGAAUUUACUUGGAUUUUAAAUGUCAAUGUUAAUGCAAACAUGUGUUGUAUCUAUUGCUCUGCCUAUUAGUGUGUUUGUUUAGAAUUCUGUUUCAUGAUCAUGAUUAAGUAACCUAGUGUUUGGCAUCUACAUAAUAUUUGCAUGCCUCUAGACUUAAUGAACAUUAUACUGGUUUAAAAUUUCAUAAAACAUC